rnacentral:rRNA from 1 species
CCUACGGGAGGCAGCAGUGAGGAAUAUUGGACAAUGGGCGCAAGCCUGAUCCAGCCAUGCCGCGUGCAGGAUGACGGUCCUAUGGAUUGUAAACUGCUUUUGUACAGGAAGAAACAGUUCUACGUGUAGAACCUUGACGGUACUGUAAGAAUAAGGAUCGGCUAACUCCGUGCCAGCAGCCGCGGUAAUACGGAGGAUCCAAGCGUUAUCCGGAAUCAUUGGGUUUAAAGGGUCCGUAGGCGGUUUAGUAAGUCAGUGGUGAAAGCCCAUCGCUCAACGGUGGAACGGCCAUUGAUACUGCUAAACUUGAAUUAUUAGGAAGUAACUAGAAUAUGUAGUGUAGCGGUGAAAUGCUUAGAGAUUACAUGGAAUACCAAUUGCGAAGGCAGGUUACUACUAAUUGAUUGACGCUGAUGGACGAAAGCGUGGGUAGCGAACAGGAUUAGAUACCCUGGUAGUCCACGCCGUAAACGAUGGAUACCUAGCUGUUGGAAGCAAUUUCAGUGGCUAAGCAAAGUGAUAGAUCCACCUGGGGAUACGUUCGNAAGANAGAANACAAGAAGUAGAGNGNGAGAGAGCGAGACGACGACGAGGGAGGAGG